UACGAAGGGGGCUAGCGUUGCUCGGAAUCACUGGGCGUAAAGCGCACGUAGGCGGACUCUUAAGUCGGUGGUGAAAUCCUGGAGCUCAACUCCAGGACUGCCUUCGAUACUGGGAGUCUCGAGUUCGGGAGAGGUGAGUGGAACUGCGAGUGUAGAGGUGAAAUUCGUAGAUAUUCGCAAGAACACCAGUGGCGAAGGCGGCUCACUGGCCCGAUACUGACGCUGAGGUGCGAAAGCGUGGGGAGCAAACAGG
rnacentral:rRNA from 1 species